rnacentral:rRNA from 1 species
CUAUGCUUAGCCCUAAACCCAGAUAUUUAACACACAAAAAUAUCCGCCAGAGAACUACGAGCAUAACGCUUAAAACUCUAAGGACUUGGCGGUGCCUUAAACCCCCCUAGAGGAGCCUGUUCUAUAAUCGAUAAUCCACGAUCCACCUCACCAUCUCUUGCCAGUACCGCCUAUAUACCGCCGUCACUAGCCUACCCUAUGAAGGAUAUAAAAGUAAGCAAAACAGCCAACAAUAGCUAAUAAGUCAGGUCAAGGUGUAGCUAACUGAGAUGGAAGAAAUGGGCUACAUUUUCUAAACUAGAAAUUAUCUCACGGAAAGAACCAUGAAACAAGUUCUACAAGCAGGAUUUAGCAGUAAACAAGGAUUAGAAUGCCCAAUUUAAGCCGGUCCUAAGGCACGCACACACCGCCCGUCACCCUCCUCAAAUCAACAUCACCUAUAAAUAAAACCACAACAAAUAAACAGAUGAGGCAAGUCGUAACAAGGUAAGUAUACCGGAAGGUGUACUUGGAACAUU